UGAACCGAGGCGGGAGAGUCCCGACCGAAAGCCAUGGCCGGGCGCCGAAGGAGCAAUUCUCCCCAGAAUCUCUCAGGCCCCGUUACCGCCCCGGUGAG
rnacentral:ncRNA from 2 species